rnacentral:rRNA from 1 species
UUAGUGGAAGCGUCUGGAAAGRCGCGCGAUACAGGGUGACAGCCCCGUACACAAAAGCGCAUGUGCUGUGAGCUCGAUGAGUAGGGCGGGACACGUGGUAUCCUGUCUGAAUAUGGGGGGACCAUCCUCCAAGGCUAAAUACUCCUGACUGACCGAUAGUGAACCAGUACCGUGAGGGAAAGGCGAAAAGAACCCCGGCGAGGGGAGUGAAAAAGAACCUGAAACCGUGUACGUACAAGCAGUGGGAGCACAGGUUUACCUGUGUGACUGCGUACCUUUUGUAUAAUGGGUCAGCGACUUAUAUUCUGUAGCAAGGUUAACCGWAUAGGGGAGCCGKAGGGAAACCGAGUCUUAAYYGGGCGUUAAGUUGCAGGGUAUAGACCCGAAACCCGGUGAUCUAGCCAUGGGCAGGUUGAAGGUUGGGUAACACUAACUGGAGGACCGAACCGACUAAUGUUGAAAAAUUAGCGGAUGACCUGUGGCUGGGGGUGAAAGGCCAAUCAAACCGGGAGAUAGCUGGUUCUCCCCGAAAGCUAUUUAGGUAGCGCCUCGUGAAUUCAUCUCCGGGGGUAGAGCACUGUUUCGGCUAGGGGGCCAUCCCGGCUU